AUCAUGUUAGAUACAAGUAAAUAUGACAUCUUCAGUUUCCGUAAACAACGUUUUGAAAUGAUAUGCUUAUAAAACAAAUUAUACUUCAUAUAAAAGGACAGUAAUUGUGUUCAAAACUUAAAUUCGGUCUCUUGAAGUGAAAAUCAAAAUAACUCUUGGAAAUGGGAAGAAAUAAGACGAAGAAGACGACUUUUCAAAACUUCGCAAGGCGUCCGCCGUGAUACUGUUGGUCGUCGGCUUAAUCGGAUUUGGUUUGGCAAAACUCGCAGUAGGUGCGAAUAAUCUGAACAACUGCAGCAUUGAAAAGCAUAUUCCAGUAUAUAUUCUUCUAAGUGCAUUUGCGCCUUUAGCGCUUAGUGGGUGCUUUGCCUGCCAGGGAAAUGGUAAUUUGGACGGAUUUUUUCAACUUGUGUGUGGAUGUAUUACAUUACUUUUUAGUUUUGCCUGGCUUAUCUGUGGUACUGUGUGGGUCUACCCUAAUUACGGUAUUGUCAUGUCUAAAGAUUUCAAACUGUGCAAGGGAAAUGAAACAGUCGGGUGUUCAAAAGGCGACUGCGAUAAAAGCCUGUUGGGAUUUGCUUUCGCUAUGGUUACCAUAGAUUGGAUGCUUUUGCUUAUGUUGAUUGGGAUAAUAGCUUGGCUGAUAUACAGAGAUAGUAAAAAGUAAAGUUGCAAGACCUUAACUUGAUAAGGUGCAUUUUCUGCGCAAGAACUUUUCACAUAAAGAUAUAUUAUUGACUGUAGGCUCAAUCGGGCUAGGCCAAGUGGGUAAAAUAUACAAUUUAUUACAUUCCAACCAUUGUUAACGAUAUAUCUGAGGAGCAAACACCUCAAAACAAAGACACAUCUCCCAUUAUACUGAAUGUUUUGUUGAUUUACCUCUCGAGAGCAUUUAUCUCUUUAGUCUUUACACUGAACAGCAUUGUCAUUUGUGUUCGCUCUUGACAGGUUGCACUGUAUAUGUCAAGUUUGUAGGACGAUGAGAGAAAGCAGAGAUUAAUGUCUUUUCAGUUAAACCUUUACCCUGCUAAAUUUCUAAAAUAGACUGGACUAUCAUUCAGUUUGGGCAGUACCAUUUAUCAUUUGAAGGGGAGUUCAUUGAAAAUUUACUGACUAAACUGCGAACAAUGCGAGACCAAGAUCAGUAGGUUGGUCAUUAGUCUGCACACUGGUCGCAAAGGCAGAAUGUCUUGCCGCCAGCAGGUUAGAGGUUGAACUACUUUAUGUUUAUUAUCAAUACUGUAUGUGUUUUAUAUAGGUGUCAUUUUUCUGUUGAUAAAGCAAGUUACACUUUGAAAUUAAUGAAGGAAACUAAUUGUAGAGCUAGAAAAAAAGUACUAAAAUCCCUUCAUAUGUGUUAAC
rnacentral:misc_RNA from 1 species